rnacentral:lncRNA from 1 species
AAUUUUUUCCAUGUCUUUCUUAUUUUUUUACCUAUAUUGUUUGUUGUUAUUUUAGUUUCUUUGCUUGGUAUUAUAUUAUCCUUCAUAAAAUGUCUUUCUGUAAUAUUCUCUUUUAAGUAGAUCUAAUCGUUGUAUUUCAUUAGCAUUGUUUGUAAUAUAUUCUAGAUGUUCGACUUCUCUAGUUCUCAAAUAAUCGAAUAGAUUUUCUAUUAGUAAUUUUUCAUGUAGAUCUAUAUCUUCUAUAGUUUUUACCCAAUAUUGUAAAUAUUCGUAAUUUAUCAUUAGUCUAUAUCUAUAUCAUCAUAUAAACCAUACAUAUCAUAAUAAAGUUCAUCCUGUAUACUUUGUAUGGUUAACUCAGUCCAACCUUGGGUUGUUAUUUCUAUUAUCUCAUAUGUUACCAAUUUGUCAUAAAUUUCUAUUUUUAUAUCAGUACUCAGAUCUUUUAAUAUAGAGUAGUAAUAUCUUAUAGUUAUCAUCAUCAUCUAUUAAAUAGGUACUCAUUUUAUUCAUUUUUGCUAAAAUUUUGUCACGACCCAAAAAUGGACGUGAUGGCACUCAUCUUAUCCCACCAAGACAAGUCAGCCUAAAACUCAACCAUUACAUUAAGUGCGGAAAUAAAAUAUAAGUAACUUAAUAAAAACCCCAAAACCUGGUAGUCACGUGUACAAGCCUCUAAAAUAUUACAAUUGAUUAAAAUGAAAACUCAAGUCUCAAAUGAACUUGUUUCUAGAAUAGAACAAGAUCAUAAUUAAGGAGAAGAAAGUCUGCUGAGAUGAAAACAGCUACCUCACAAAUCUCCAAGAAGCCUCGGAAAAGAAGAGAAUGACAAGUACAACAAAAAUCCAGGCUCAUAACCUACAAAAAUUUGUAGUAGCAAGGGGUGAGUACCAAACCACACGGUACUCAGCAAGUAAACCUCUAAACACAAGCUAAGGGGAUGAAAUACGGGUACUCCUACCACCCCCAACCGAACCUCCACAACUACAACCUGCAGUAAAUUCAACCCAACCUAACAGCUCACAGUUUACAUUGCACGUAGCUCAACAACAACACUUAGACAAAUUACAUAUCCUCAACAACAACACUUUAACAAAUUACAUAUCCUCAACAACAAUACUUCAACAAAUUAUAUAUCCGCAAUAACAAGCUCAAUAUUGAUCAAUCACAAGUUCCGCAGAAAGGCAAUCAGAAGACCAGCAAAACACGAUAUCAAGUUCACUAAUGAUAAGUAUGUGCAAUGCAAUGUCAAGUAUAAUGAUGCAUGUCUGACCUAGUGAUACACACCCGCUGUCUCUCAGUCCGGAACCCAUGGGGGACAUAUCUGUCCAUGCAUCUGUCGCGGCGCACGACACGACCCUCGAUAAUAGUAACCAUCACGGCGCGCGAUACGUCCCUUGAAAUAUAGUAUCUAUCGCGGCGCGCGAUACGUCCCUCGUAAUAUAGUAUCCAUCGCGGCGCGCGAUACGUCCCUCGAAAUGGUACAUUCUCUUUUCUCAUUCUUUCUCAAUGCACAUAACACUUUUGACAACCAUGUGUCAAAAUAAUGCAAAUGACUUGUUCACAGAAAUAAAGAGUAUAUCACCAUUUUCAUAACAUUGCACAAUUUACAACAUCAACAAUGAUUCAACAAGCCUUUCAAAUCAUUCGAUAUUAUCAACACAUCACACACAACCCAUUAUUGACAUUGCCUUUUAUUACCAUUUGUUUUCAUCAUUAGAAUUAAUCAAUGUGGAAGUCAACCCAUCACCCAGUCCCAUUACUCCCAAACAUAUAUAACAUAUACCACAAGUAAAUACACGCAUUCCAUAUACUUAACAAGAGUUUAGAAAUUCACUUGCCUCAAUUUAUCGAACAAUCACUCAGGGACUUGAGCCUUUCCUUUCUGUUGACCUUCCAAAUCGAUGCAAUCUAUUCAAGUAUAUAUUCAUAAUAAGGUUUCGAAACUAACAACACCCACAUUACUAUAGGUUAAGCCUAGACUCAAAAGAUCACCCAAUCUAUAAAGUAUAUAUACAUAUAUAAUAAGGUGUAAGUUAAUAAGCCCACAAAAGCUCCAAUUAUUCUAUGUCUAACCUCUACCCAUCAAUGCACCUAAUUCUAUCAUUAAUUCCUUAAAGUUCAAACCUAAGCGAAAAUCUUAAUUCUUCCAAUUAGCGCAACUUAAAUAAAAUUUAAGUAAUUCAAUAUAUCUAAUAUUUAGUUACCUAUCUCGACAUAUCAAAACUUAGUAUAUAAUAAGAUAACAACAUUAUUAUGUUUAAAAUCGAAACCACUGGUUAUGAAACCAGUGGCAGCAACAGAGAGCACCUCACACCACACGCCUACCUUUCGCCAUGUACUGAUCUUUAUCUUACAAUUCAUGACCCAUCAUUAUGCCUAAAAUACUUACCUUUUUCAUAUAAUAAAAUAAUUUUCCACCAUUUUUUUAUCCAUUAAUAUAGUCAUUAAUCAUCAACUAUAAUUUUUUUUUUAAAAAACAAUAUGCAAUACCAUGUUGCUGAAGCAACAUCGUUCCACAACAAUUUUAACAAUAAAAAAAUGAUGAGGUGAAUUAAACUUAUCAUUAUUCGAUAAUAAAACUCGACAAACAAUCUUAUCAUGACUUCCUCACUGCAAAAACAUUCCUACCUUUCUUGCUCUAAUUCAAACCCCUAAUAAAAUAUAAUGAUUUUCUACUUUCCAUUGAUUAACUAUAUUGCCCCUAAUAAUGUCUCCACUAAUUAAUUAAGAAGCCUAGAUUUGCAAUCCAUCUGUAAUUACCUCAUAUAAUUGAUUAACAACUAACUAUUUUAUCCCCUUUUUCCCACUAAUAUGAACAAUGACAUACUACUAAUUGAAGUACUACAUACCAUCGAAGUACACCAAAAAAAUAUUGAAACAGUCGCAUAGUUUACUUGAAGCUGCCCGUGAUUUUUCUUCGUUCAAACGCCGCUUUGCGUUAUUCCAUUCCUUUCUUAUUUUCUACAAAAUUAUUCUCUACCCUAAUCUAAUAUACUACUUAUAAGAGUUAUAAAAGUGGUCCACUAUCAAUUUUAAAGUUAUUUUCUUUAACCACCAACUAACUUAAUUAUAAAACUACCCCACUAAUUUCAUAAUUAUAAUUAUGAAUACUCCAAAACACCCAUUUAAAUUUAUAGGAAAGUAUUUUCUGACAUAAAAUGUUCUAGUGCUCAAAACGAC